rnacentral:lncRNA from 1 species
GUUUGGAAACCAGGUCCACGACAAAUCUCCCAUGAAAUAUACUUUGGACAAAAGUAUAUCUUACCUUCUUCUUCUUCUUCUUCUUCUUCUUCUUCUUCUUCUUCUUCUUCUUCUUCUUCUUCUUCUUCUUCUUCUUCUCCUCCAGUUAGUGAUUCACCUCAGGAGCACCCCAACGGGUCGUCUGUGGACCCAGUCGAGUCGGAGCCCAAUCAGAACAACGCUGACAACGGCUACGCUGACCACGACAGUGAUGACAGCUUCCACCCUCCACCCUCCCCCUCUGGGCCAUUGGAUGGACAGCCGGGGUGGGCGGGGAGGUGUGAUGUCACGAGAGGUGAUGAGGUCACAAAGGGGGUUGUUCUCACUGAGUGUGGUGAUGUCACCAGAGCUGAUGAUGUCACGGUGGGGGUUGAUGUCACUAAGUAUGGUGAGGUCACUGAGGUGGGGUCUCGCGAACCAGCUGAUCACCCUGUCCCACAGGAAGCAAGCGGCUUGGAGGGGGGUGAUGUCACUGAGUGUGGUGAGGUCACAGGAGGUGUUGAGGUCGUUGGGGGGGACCCUCAACCUACGGAGAGUGAGAGGGUAGACGGCGAGCGCAAGACAACCGAUGUAGUGGUUCCGACCAAUGAGAAGGAGUCUCGCGAACCAGGUGAUCACUCUGUCCCACAGGAAGCCAGCGGCAACGCCACAAUAGUCAGCAGUCCGGAGGUCGUUGUUAACGAGGGGUGGGGGGGCCGGAGGGAAAGUACAGAUCAUUUGGAAGACCCUGGGGAGGGGGAGACGGAGGGCGGAGUAAUACAGAAGACUGACGAUGGCAACGCUGACCACGAUAGUGAUGGUGAUGACCACCACACUACACCCUCCUCCUCUGGGCCAAUGGUUAAACAGCCGGCGUCGGCGGGGAGCAGUGAUGUCACGGGAGGUGAUGAUGUCAUGGAGUGUGGGGAUGUCGGGGCAGGUGAUGUGGUCGGGGCGGGGGACCCUCUACGAAGGGAGAGUGAGAGGUUAGACCGUAAGGGUGGUGAGCGCAUGACAACAGGUGUAGAGGUUCCGACCAAUGAGAAGGAGUCUCGUGAACCAGGUGAUCAGGCUGUCCAACAGGAAGCCAGCGGCACCGGCCCAAUGGUCAGCGGUCCAGAGGGCGGGGUUAACGAGAGGAGGAGGGGCCUGAGGGAAAGUAUGGAUCUUUUGGAAGUCCGUGAGGAGGGGGAGACGGAGGGCAGAGUAAUACAGAAGAAACGUAGAAAAGUCUUUGACAUUCCAAACUGUUUCUCCGGAUUGUGUUUGAGCUCUAGGCCGAGAUUGGCAAAGCGUAAACUGGGAAAUGAGGUUGACAUGGUCGAAGAUAAAAAAUCUAUUAAAAAGAGACGAAAGAAUAAUAGCUUAAUGUGUUACAAUAAGCAGACCUCGGAUACAGAAUAA